GAAAUGCGAUAAGUAAUGUGAAUUGCAGAAUUCCGUGAAUCAUCGAAUCUUUGAACGCACAUUGCGCCCUCUGGUAUUCCGGGGGGCAUGCCUGUCCGAGCGUCAUUGCGAACCCCUCAAGCACGGCUUGUGUGAUGGGCCCUCCCGCGUCUUGGUCGUCAAGACGGGCCCGAAAUGCAGUGGCGGCUUCGCGGUUAUCCGAUCGGCCAGAGCGUAUGGGGACUUUCUCUCUGUCACACGCCCGCGGCGCGGACCGACGCCUGUCGACCUUUAUUCAUCUUUUUCUCGGUUGACCUCGGAUCAGGUAGGGAUACCCGCUGAACUUAAGC
rnacentral:misc_RNA from 1 species